CACCCCCCAAGCCACUCCUAUCUGCGGAGGGCGCAGGCAGUGCUGCCCGUGGCCCCAUGCCAGUGUCCCUUCAGAGGGGCAUUGGCAGUGGCUACACAGUAACCGGCCCCACACUAGCUAUUAGACAUUUUUGUUGUAUGUUUCAUACAUGUCCCAUGUGAGGGGGUCUCUGUCCACCUCGUGGCCUUUCCUGAGAUGUAACAUGUCCUACUUGGUUUCCUGGCUAAGGCCUUUGAGCGACCUUGAAGCCACCAACAUCCCAGUUCUGUGACAUUCAGAAAGAGCCCAGUCUGUUCAAAUGCCCCUGGGAACAGCACUGCUGGUCAAGAACCCUGCAAAGGCCUGAGAGUUCCAGACAGCAUCUCCCUUCCUAAGACCAGACCAGACCACACCUGCUGGACAUAAUGUCUUGAUAAGCACCCUCAGGGCUUCCAGGAACAGCCCCGCAGGGCAUACUACACAGACCUGAGCCAGGCCCCAGGCUCCCUUCCUCUGCCCUGAAGAACAUUCCACAACAAACAGGAAUGUACACUGGCAGAGAAGACGCUCCAUCUUGCUGUACCCUUGACGCCUCAACCAUGAGGGACCUCU